AGAGAUCCUAGCUUGGUUCACUAAGACCGGACUCAUGGUGCAAAGCAAAUGUAAUGAACUUAACACGAAGCACUCCAAAAUAGAAUUUGAUCAACCAGACAAUCAGGUAAGUGCAAGAUUUGUGGGAGGCUCCCUAUGCUUUCACAAUAGUCCUAACUAAGUAACCACCAUUCUUUUGAUCAACCAGACGAUCAGGUAAGUGCAAGAUUUGUGGGAGGCUCCCUAUGCUUUCACAAUAGUCCUAAUUAAGUAACCACCAUUCUUGAAAUACUUAGACACC
rnacentral:lncRNA from 1 species